ACAUGGAGGAGUGUAUUCAGCUCCGAGAUGAGAUCGAGGAGCUCAUCAGAUGAGGUUGGCUCAAUAGAUUCAUCCGAUGCCGGCCUGAAGGUAGGGAAGAUCGAUCGAGGGUCCUACCACAACCAGAGCCACCAAGGAAGGAAGAAUAGCCUGAAGAUCGGCCUCCAAUUGGGAUCAUCAACACCAUCUCUAGAGGACCCCGACGGGGAGCAGCCAGUGGAU
rnacentral:lncRNA from 1 species